GUGGGGAAUAUUGCACAAUGGAGGAAACUCUGAUGCAGCGACGCCGCGUGAGUGAAGAAGUAGUUCGCUAUGUAAAGCUCUAUCAGCAGGGAAGAUAGUGACGGUACCUGACUAAGAAGCACCGGCUAAAUACGUGCCAGCAGCCGCGGUAAUACGUAUGGUGCAAGCGUUAUCCGGAUUUACUGGGUGUAAAGGGAGCGCAGGCGGUGCGGCAAGUCUGAUGUGAAAGCCCGGGGCUCAACCCCGGUACUGCAUUGGAAACGGUCGUACUAGAGUGUCGGAGGGGUAAGCGGAAUUCCUAGUGUAGCGGUGAAAUGCGUAGAUAUUAGGAGGAACACCAGUGGCGAAGGCGGCUUACUGGACGAUAACUGACGCUGAGGCUCGAAAGCGUGGGGAGCAAACAGGAUUAGAUACCCGAGUAUCC
rnacentral:rRNA from 1 species